AUUGAACGCUGGCGGCAUGCCUUACACAUGCAAGUCGAACGGCAGCGGACCUUCGGGUGCCGGCGAGUGGCGAACGGGUGAGUAAUAUAUCGGAACGUACCUUUCAGUGGGGGAUAACGUAGCGAAAGUUACGCUAAUACCGCAUAUUCUGUGAGCAGGAAAGCAGGGGAUCGCAAGACCUUGCGCUGAUUGAGCGGCCGAUAUCAGAUUUAGCUAGUUGGUGAGGUAAAGGCUCACCAAGGCGACGAUCUGUAGCGGGUCUGAGAGGAUGAUCCGCCACACUGGAACUGAGACACGGUCCAGACUCCUACGGGAGGCAGCAGUGGGGAAUUUUGGACAAUGGGCGCAAGCCUGAUCCAGCCAUGCCGCGUGAGUGAAGAAGGCCUCGG
rnacentral:rRNA from 1 species